rnacentral:rRNA from 1 species
CGCGGCCUAUCAGCUUGUUGGUGAGGUAAUGGCUCACCAAGGCGACGACGGGUAGCCGGCCUGAGAGGGUGACCGGCCACACUGGGACUGAGACACGGCCCAGACUCCUACGGGAGGCAGCAGUGGGGAAUAUUGCACAAUGGGCGAAAGCCUGAUGCAGCGACGCCGCGUGAGGGAUGACGGCCUUCGGGUUGUAAACCUCUUUCAGUAGGGAAGAAGCGAAAGUGACGGUACCUGCAGAAGAAGCACCGGCUAACUACGUGCCAGCAGCCGCGGUAAUACGUAGGGUGCGAGCGUUGUCCGGAAUUAUUGGGCGUAAAGAGCUUGUAGGCGGUUUGUCGCGUCUGCUGUGAAGAUCCGGGGCUCAACCCCGGACUUGCAGUGGGUACGGGCAGACUAGAGUGUGGUAGGGGAGACUGGAAUUCCUGGUGUAGCGGUGACAUGCGCAGAUACCAGGAGGAACACCGAUGGCGAAGGCAGGUCUCUGGGCCACUACUGACGCUGAGAAGCGAAAGCAUGGGGAGCGAACAGGAUUAGAUACCCUGGUAGUCCAUGCCGUAAACGUUGGGAACUAGGUGUGGGUCUCAUUCCACGAGAUCCGUGCCGCAGCUAACGCAUUAAGUUCCCCGCCUGGGGAGUACG